AUGGACGACGGGGCUAGCCUGGAUGGUCGCCGGCGGCUGCGAAGUUGCCGGAGGGCGGGGCGGCCAAGACGCCAGCGCUCGGCGUGGGAGGUUGCUCGGGGAAGCACGGGAGCUGGGGCUCGAGGAGCUCCUGUGGCGUGCGGGCUGUGUUGCAGGCUCGCCCGAGCCCAGAUGGGCUUGGCAGGCCCCGAUCUUGCGUUGGCGAGCUGGCAGCUGAGUGGGAGCCAGGGGCUGAGGCACAUGGCGACGUGGCGCUCUACCAUUGGCUGGAUGGCGGCUGGCUGGCGGCGCGGCCACCCAGAGAGCGCCAUGUGGCGGGGACACAGUGGCUGGCACGGAAACAAAGAGGAGCGUUGGCACUGGUGA
rnacentral:rRNA from 1 species